rnacentral:rRNA from 1 species
CAGCCGCCGCGGUAAUACAGAGGAUGCAAGCGUUAUCCGGAAUCAUUGGGUUUAAAGGGUCCGUAGGCGGUUUAGUAAGUCAGUGGUGAAAGCCCAUCGCUCAACGGUGGAACGGCCAUUGAUACUGCUGAACUUGAAUUAUUAGGAAGUAACUAGAAUAUGUGGUGUAGCGGUGAAAUGCUUAGAGAUUACAUGGAAUACCAAUUGCGAAGGCAGGUUACUACUAAUUGAUUGACGCUGAUGGACGAAAGCGUGGGGAGCGAACAGGAUUAGAUACCCCGGUAGUCCCUGUCUCUUAUAC